rnacentral:rRNA from 1 species
CAGCCGCCGCGGGAAUACGUAGGUGGCAAGCGUUGUCCGGAAUUAUUGGGCGUAAAGGGCUCGCAGGCGGUUUCUUAAGUCUGAUGUGAAAGCCCCCGGCUCAACCGGGGAGGGUCAUUGGAAACUGGGAAACUCGAGUGCAGAAGAGGAGAGUGGAAUUCCACGUGUAGCGGUGAAAUGCGUAGAGAUGUGGAGGAACACCAGUGGCGAAGGCGACUCUCUGGUCUGUAACUGACGCUGAGGAGCGAAAGCGUGGGGAGCGAACAGGAUUAGAGACCCGGGUAGUCCCUGUCCCUUAUAC